rnacentral:rRNA from 1 species
UACGUAGGGGGCAAGCGUUGUCCGGAUUUACUGGGCGUAAGGAGCGCGUAGGCGGAAGCUUAAGUGUGGCCUGAAAGCCCCCGGCUCAACCGGGGAAGGUGGCUGCAAACUGGGUUUCUUGAGGGCGAUAGAGGAGAGUGGAAUUCCUGGUGUAGCGGUGAAAUGCGUAGAUAUCAGGAGGAACACCCGUGGCGAAGGCGGUUCUCUGGGCAUUACCUGACGCUGAGGAGCGAAAGUGUGGGGAGCGAACAGG